ACUUUUAAAGGAUAACAGCCAUCCGUUGGUUUUAGGCAUCAUACAACUCUUGGUGCAAUUCCAAGUAAAAGUA
rnacentral:tRNA from 1 species